UACGUAGGGUGCGAGCGUUAAUCGGAAUUAUUGGGCGUAAAGCGUGCGCAGGCGGCGCUGCAAGUCGAGUGUGAAAUCCCCGAGCUUAACUUGGGAAUUGCGCUCGAAACUACGGUGCUGGAGUGUGGCAGAGGGAGGUGGAAUUCCACGUGUAGCGGUGAAAUGCGUAGAGAUGUGGAGGAACACCGAUGGCGAAGGCAGCCUCCUGGACCGACACUGACACUGAGGAGCGAAAGCCAGGGGAGCAAACGGG
rnacentral:rRNA from 1 species